GGGAUAUUGUUGUAGGGCAGCCAGCCUUAUUGGCAGUACAAACAGUUCAACCUGUCUGAAGUGAAAUGAGAGUUGGGAUAUUGUCCCUUGAUGACAGCGUUAGGUUACAAUAAUAAGAAGUGAAACCUAUUCAUGGGGACAAAGUCAAAGGUUUGGUGACUUAUUCAAUAACAUCCAACAAGUUUGAAAACUGGCUAUGGUUCCCAAGACCGGCAUUGCAGGAGAACCCAGGCAAACUUUGGAUAAAUGGAAGGGCUCAUCAGUAAUUACACAAAAGUGUUGCACUUUCUCUAUGGAGCAAGAAAUUUCAGCCCCUGAAACCUGCUGUACCUUUAAGAAGGUCACCUGUGAACCUUUGUAGGGCAGAGGACUUGAUGCAUGAGUUCCACAAAGACAAGACUCAAACAUUAACCAAGCUGGCUAUAAAUGGCUAUUGGGCUGUCCCUUAAGUAAGGAGGCAAGCAGGAGUAGGCUGACCAAGGUAUUCUGUGCUGGGUGGGACAGUGCCCAAUUUGCCCUAAUGGACCAGCCCUCAUGUGAUCUGGCUUGACAGUAAAGAAAAGAAAGAAGCCUUGUGUUCCUGCUUGUGAAAACAAGAAUAUGGUUAAUAAAUACCCAUUUAUUCAAUGAGAGCA
rnacentral:lncRNA from 1 species